UUGCCCCUUUAAGAGGGCGGGGUAACGUGCGCACGGGGAGAGUGCGCGGCAAUAGCAUGUUAAGUUAUCGUGAUGAGACCAUGCACAGCAUGCAAACUUUAUUUCCUCGAUAAAGGAAGAAUUUUCUUUGAAUGUAUACUUUAUUGUUUCAUACACAUGCUGAGUGAGUUGCUGAAGUGAAGAAAUACUUCAUUCCUUUCUGUGCUUUUUCGUAUUUCAAGACAUUCUGACUGUUUUUUUCCUUGGCCUGUUCAUUGGAUGAUGCAAUUAGGACUUGAGGUCUCUGACUCCAGGAGCGAGUUUCCUUCCAGCAGACAUCUUAGCAUCACGUCAACUCUUCAGCUCUUCAUCUCAUCUUCUUCUUUCAACUCUUCAGUUCUUCACUCAUCCAUUGUAUACUCAUCAUCAGUUUAUCUUUGAUAAGCUGAAAGACUUUCCUAAGGGUGUGGUAGGACUGAGACAUUGCUUUACACACAUUACACAGAACUGUUUUUUGGAAGAACUGUAAUUUUUUUUUUCCUUUUUUCUGGACUUCCAUUUCUUUUGGUUACAGCUAUAUUUUACAUUUGGUUGCAGCUGAAUUGGUUCAUUAAUUUCCAAGAGUAACCAUGGCUGGGGAUUGUCACUCUCAUUUUCUUUUUUUUCCUUUAAAGUGCCAGGGAACAAAAGUAUUUAAUUUACCUGCUCAAAAUACACUUUUCUGGUAAAAAUAAUUUUUCAUGUGUGGUGUUACUUUUAUUUAACUUUUGUUUCCUUUUCUCUCCCUUACUCCUGACAUUCAUGUUAUUCCUCAAUUAACAUCUUUGUGGGUGAACUACAGGCCGAAACCAAGCUCCUUAGAUGAACCUAGACAACCUUAGAUGAACCUAGAUCAUACAACCCUGACCUAGUCAUUAAAGCCAGGGUUACACACACAGGAUACAUUCAUUUUAAUGAAAUGACAGAUCCAUUCAAUUUGUCAGUGUUUUCUGUCCACAUUUAUUAUUAGUGCAGGUGGUGUUUCAACUUGAUACCCCCCCCCCCAAGUCUAGCUAAACUGAUGUGCCAUGGGACUAUUAGUAACAGUUUGCUGAUAAAUAUCAGGAUCCAUGUGAAUGAAGGAAAUAUGACAAUAAUAAGUGAUAAGUCUAGUCAUCAAACCCAGUGUGUUAAAUCAAUUAACUCGAAUCAACAAUUAACAUUCUGUUCAUGUGAAUUUAAAAUGAUUUAUUGCAAAAUAUCACUAAUGUUCACUUAUAAUCACUAAUGACUUUUCUUUCACACAAAGCUCAAAAAUGGCUCAUUUAAUAAAGUGGACAGUGUGUGUAUGUUUGUUUUUAAGGUGGAGCCUAAAAAGCUUUAACAUUUCUGCAUUGAUGUAUUACUUCAAAGCACCUUUAUAUCCCCCAAAUGUAAGUUGUAGCUACUGAAUCAGCUGCAGUGGUCAGUCCUGCUGAUUAUUAAUGUGUGUGGUGUUUGUUUCCACAGCAUGCCUGGACUGGACGGCUCAGCCUCGCAGGAGGCGGGACUAGGUGACGGAAGCGCCGCAUUGGCUGAUGAUGGCAAGGACCCCUUGGGCUUGAGCACUGACAGCCUAUCACGACUCAGAAGCCCUUCUGUGAUGGAAGUCAGAGAAAAGGGAUAUGAGACACUGAGGGAGGAGCUAAUGAAGUGGAUUUCACUAAUCCCUCACCCAGUGGAUCACCUCCGUCUGCAACUUCUUCACCUACAUUCACUACAUCCACCAAGGACUGGUCAAGCAGCAGGAUGCUGAACAGAUGUUCUGGGAGGUCAUGCAGCUGUGUAAGGAGAUGUUCUGUGCUAAACUGGACUACUACAGAGAUGAACUGUGAACACUGAGCAAGGAGACCGUGUGUGAAAGAAACAUGCUCAGUGCAGGAGAGGGGGGUUCUGCAGUUCACCAAGACACAUCACAGGGACCAGGUCUUUCCUCACACCUCAACACUCCAGCACUGUGUGUGUGUGUGUGUACUGAGAUGAAAUCACUGAAAAGGGAAGAAAAAGGUGCUGGUCUACUGAUCAGAAGGUUGUGAGUUUGAAUCCCAGCUCCACCAAGCUGCCACUGCUGGGCCCCUGAGCAAGGCCCUCAACCCUCAAUUACUCAGCUGUAUAAAAUGAGAUAAAAUGUAAGUCACUGUGGAUAAGGACGUCUGCCAAAUGCCAGAAAUGUAAAUGUCUGAUAGCUGCCUCUUGUCUCCUCAGUUCUGGUCAAACCCAUUAAAGUGUCACACUUAUUCAUAACACACGUCACUAAGACCUAUUAUAAACAUAUUCUGUCUAAUUUAACUCGUACACCUGAAUGAAAUAAAACCUCAUAAACCUUCUGAUACUAAUUAUACUAUUUUCCUUCCACCAUCAUCGUCCUGACUCCUGUCCCUGAGGCUGACCAGUGUGUCUGUACACCAGGGGAUAGUGGAUAGUAAAACUCCUUUAUCUUCUACAUAUCUGUCUAUUGGGUUUUUUAAUAAAUGUUGGACUUUUUUAAAUGUUCUACUGCAGUUGUUGUGUCUGUUAUCCAGUGUGACAGUGCUGUUAAAGAUUCAUUUCAUUUUGUCCAGCUUACAAAUCGACUUAAAACAGCUUUUACUUCUGCUAAAGAUUUUAGGAGUACUUCUACUUUUACCCUCCUCAGAGAAUUAUUGGAAAGUAACAGUACUUUCACAACCCUUUUUGUAUUUUUGAAGGAAAAAAAGAUAAUCUCAGGUUCAUUGUGAGAGAAGUUCACACUCUGUAGCCACUGCUGAAUAUGGUUCCUGUAUUUAUGUCUGGUGUAAAUGGAGUACACAGAUAUAUAUUUUUCACAGACCAGUAGUGUCUCAGGUGCCUGAUGCCACUGAUUUAUAAUUCAGUAAUUCAGCAGAAAUUUGUUGCCAAAUCAGUUCACCGUCAGUCCACUUUGUGUUCGGAAGUCAGGGAAUUCAAGUGAAGUUUCCUUUCCCUUUGGGCUCAAGACACUUCAGUUCAUUUUUUAAGAAACUCUGAGUUUUAGCUGUGCUCCAGUGUGUCCAAGAACAUUUGAUAAAAAUGUCAAUAAACUAUCUCAGCUUCACACUCCUCUCCAGAUGUGUAUGAAUCCAUCUGGAGGAAGACACACACACACACACACUUUACUAUCCUUGUAAGGACCUUCCAUAGGACUAACCCUGAGUUC